rnacentral:lncRNA from 1 species
UUCUUCUCUUUCAGGUGCGGGUCUACUAGGUCGAGGCUCGGGAUGAGGGCUGAUCCUCUAGUCUUCUCAAUGGACCUCUAUCAGGCCAUCUACAGGGACAUGCAACAUGGCCACACGUUCUUCUUGUGUACGCAGUCUGCUUGUUUGCGGGUUGGGCCUAGCAGGCUAGGUAGUGGGUCGGAUGACUCGGGUCACCCGCUCGCAAGUGCUUCUCCUUAAUCUGUAGCCUCGAACAAGCCAUCUUCAUCUUUUAGGAUCAAUCAAAAGCCCACAACUCAUCGUCAUU